AGCACAAUCCAAAAUUUUUGUCUUGUUUAAGUAGUCAAAAAUAAGUUUAGUGCUAAUAGUAAACCCUUCUUUGCAACCCAUGGCUGAUCUUGUACAAUCGGCUGUGUUACUUUCUAGAAGGAACAAC